UGGGGAAUCUUGCACAAUGGGGGCAACCCUGAUGCAGCGACGCCGCGUGAGCGAUGAAGCCCUUCGGGGCGUAAAGCUCUUUCGACCGGAACGAUAAUGACGGUACCGGGAGAAGAAGCUGCGGCUAACUACGUGCCAGCAGCCGCGGUAAUACGUAGGCAGCAAGCGUUGUUCGGAGUUACUGGGCGUAAAGAGUGCGUAGGCGGUUUUCUAAGUUCGGUGUGAAAUCUCCCGGCUUAACUGGGAGGGUGCGCCGAAGACUGGGAAGCUGGAGUGUGGGAAAGGCAGGCGGAAUUCCUGGUGUAGCGGUGAAACGCGUAGAUAUCAGGAGGAACACCGGCGGUGUAGACGGCUUGCUAAACCAUAACUGACGCUGAGGCACGAAAGCGUGGGUAGCAAACA
rnacentral:rRNA from 1 species